rnacentral:rRNA from 1 species
AACGAACGCUGGCGGCAUGCCUAACACAUGCAAGUCGAACGAGACCUUCGGGUCUAGUGGCGCAUGGGUGCGUAACGCGUGGGAACCUGCCCUUAGGUUCGGAAUAACUCCCCGAAAGGGGUGCUAAUACCGGAUAAUGUCCUCGGACCAAAGAUUUAUCGCCUUUGGAUGGGCCGGCGUUGUAUUAGCUUGUUGGUAGGGUAAAAGCCUACCAAGGCGACGAUCCAUAGCUGGUCUGAGAGGAUGAUCCGCCACACUGGGACUGAGACACGGCCCAGACUCCUACGGGAGGCAGCAGUGGGGAAUAUAGGACAAUCGGCGAAAGCCUGAUGCAGCAAUGCCGCGUGAGUGAUGAAGGCCUUAGGGAUGUAAAGCUCUUUUACCCGGGAUGAUAAUGACGGUACCGGGAGAAUAAGCUCCGGCUAACUCCGUG